CACGCCGUAAACGUUGGGCGCUAGGUGUGGGUCCCAUUCCACGGGGUCCGUGCCGCAGCUAACGCAUUAAGCGCCCCGCCUGGGGAGUACGGCCGCAAGGCUAAAACUCAAAGGAAUUGACGGGGGCCCGCACAAGCGGCGGAGCAUGCGGAUUAAUUCGAUGCAACGCGAAGAACCUUACCAAGGCUUGACAUAUACCGGAAACAUCCAGAGAUGGGUGCCCCGCAAGGUCGGUAUACAGGUGG
rnacentral:rRNA from 1 species